AAAGAAACUAACAAGGAUUCCCUUAGUAACGGCGAGUGAAGUGGGAAAAGCUCAAAUUUUAAAUCUACCUGGUUUCCAGGUCGAAUUGUAAUUUGAAGAAGCGUUUUCGUUUUUUUUCGAUCUGGUUGAAGUUCUUUGGAACAAGACAUCAUGGAGGGUGAGAAUCCCGUGCAUGAUCAGAUCGUGAUAUUUCAGAUACGCUCUCUAAGAGUCGAGUUGUUUGGGAAUGCAGCUCAAAAUGGGUGGUAGACUUCACCUAAGGCUAAAUAUCAGCGAGAGACCGAUAGCGAACAAGUACCGUGAGGGAAAGAUGAAAAGAACUUUGAAAAGAGAGUUAAAUAGUACGUGAAAUUGUUGAAAGGGAAACGAUUGAAGUCAGUCGUGCCGUUGAGAAAUCAACUUAGCGAGUUUCAGUUUUUGAAUUGGAGAGAGGGUCAAACCAUCACGGUUUUAAAAUUGGGGCUUGUUGGGUGUACUUUCUUUUUUGGCAGGUCAGCGUCGAUUUUGGGGGUUGUAAAAUGACUGGGGGAAUGUAGCUCCCUUCGGGGAGUGUUAUAGACCCUGGGGGAUGCAGCCCGCGGGAUCGAGGAUUGCAGCAAAUGCUUCCGCUUGUCGUCUAUCCGUUAAACGUCACCCUGCUUGUGACAAUAUUCUUGACACUUUGUGGGACUUGACGGUUAUAGGUUAGAACGUUCUAAAAUUUGCUAAGGAUGCUG
rnacentral:rRNA from 1 species